rnacentral:rRNA from 1 species
AGCCCAAAGCGGGUGGUAAAUCCCAUCUAAGGCUAAAUACUGGCGAGAGACCGAUAGCGAACAAGUACCGUGAGGGAAAGAUGAAAAGAACUUUGAAAAGAGAGUUAAAAAGUGCUUGAAAUUGUUGAGGGGGAAGCGUUUGGAGGCUAUGGGUGCGCCUAGGCUGAUGCGUCCUUAACGGGCCGCUGUAUGUGCUAGGUGCUGGUCAGCAUGGGUUGGGUUGGCAGGAUAAAAGCUUGGGUUGAUACCAGGUGAAUACUGCCGGCCUGACCAAGGCGUGAAGAAUGCCCUUGUCCUUCGGGAACUGCAUUCUCAAGAUGCUGGCGGAAGGUUUCCAACCGACCCG